rnacentral:rRNA from 1 species
UACGUAGGGUGCGAGCGUUGUCCGGAAUUACUGGGCGUAAAGAGCUCGUAGGUGGUUUGUCACGUCGUCUGUGAAAUCCCGGGGCUUAACCUCGGGCGUGCAGGCGAUACGGGCAUAACUUGAGUGCUGUAGGGGAGACUGGAAUUCCUGGUGUAGCGGUGAAAUGCGCAGAUAUCAGGAGGAACACCAAUGGCGAAGGCAGGUCUCUGGGCAGUAACUGACGCUGAGGAGCGAAAGCAUGGGUAGCGAACAGGAUUAGAUA